AAGCAUAUCAAUAAGCGGAGGAAAAGAAACCAACAGGGAUUGCCUUAGUAGCGGCGAGUGAAGCGGCAAGAGCUCAAAUUUGAAAUCUGGUACUUUCAGUAUCCGAGUUGUAAUUUGAAGAAAGUUAUCUUGGAGUUGGCCCUUGUCUAUGUUCCUUGGAACAGGACGUCACAGAGGGUGAGAAUCCCGUGCGAUGGGGUGCCCAUUCUAUGUAAGAUACUUUCGACGAGUCGAGUUGUUUGGGAAUGCAGCUCUAAGUGGGUGGUAAAUUCCAUCUAAAGCUAAAUAUUGGCGAGAGACCGAUAGCGAACAAGUACAGUGAUGGAAAGAUGAAAAGAACUUUGAAAAGAGAGUGAAAAAGUACGUGAAAUUGUUGAAAGGGAAGGGUAUUUGAUCAGACUGAUAUUCAGUUAACACUGUUCCUUGUGGAUGGUGCUCUAGCUUUUUAUUGGGCCAGCAUCAGUUUAGGUGGCAGGAUAAGAACUGUUGAACGUGGCUCUUCGGAGUGUUAUAGCUUCAGUUGAUACUGCCUAUCUAGACUGAGGUCUGCGGCUUUGCCUAGGAUGCUGGCGUAAUGGUCUAAUACCGCCC
rnacentral:rRNA from 1 species